GACGAACGCUGGCGGCGUGCUUAACACAUGCAAGUCGAACGGAAAGGCCCUGCUUUUGUGGGGUGCUCGAGUGGCGAACGGGUGAGUAACACGUGAGUAACCUGCCCUUGACUUUGGGAUAACUUCAGGAAACUGGGGCUAAUACCGGAUAGGAGCUCCUGCUGCAUGGGGGGGGUUGGAAAGUUUCGGCGGUUGGGGAUGGACUCGCGGCUUAUCGGCUUGUUGGUGGGGUAGUGGCUUACCAAGGCUUUGACGGGUAGCCGGCCUGAGAGGGUGACCGGCCACAUUGGGCUUGGGAUACGGCCCAGACUCCUACGGGAGGCAGCAGUGGGGAAUAUUGCACGAUGGGCGGAAGCCGGAUGCAGCAUCGCCGCGUGCGGGAUGUCGGCCUUCGGGUUGUAACCCGCUUUCGCCUGUGACGAAGCGUGAGUGACGGUAAUGGGUAAAGAAGCACCGGCUAACUACGUG
rnacentral:rRNA from 1 species